rnacentral:rRNA from 1 species
AGAGUUUGAUCCUGGCUCAGAACGAACGCUGGCGGCGUGGUUUAGGCAUGCAAGUCGAACGAGGACAUAUCCUUCGGGAUAUAAGCCGAGUGGCGAAAGGGUGAGUAAUGCAUAGACAAUCUGCCUUUAGGAUAAGAAUAACUCUGUGAAAGCGGAGCUAAUACUUAAUAAUACAAAGAAAAGAUCCUUUCUUUGUCAAAAGAUGGGUAUGUAAAUACCUUUUGCCUAGAGAGGGGUUUAUGUCCUAUCAGCUUGUUGGUGGGGUAACGGCCUACCAAGGCGAAGACGGGUAACCGGCCUUAGAGGGUAGUCGGUCACACUGGAACUGAGACACUGUCCAGACUUCUACGGAAGGCUGCAGUCGAGAAUCUUUCGCAAUGCCCGAAAGGGUGACGAAGCGACGCCGCGUGGAUGAAGAAGGCCUUCGGGUUGUAAAAUCCUGUCAGGAGUUAUGAAAUAUAAGUUUGAUAAUACCAAAUUUAUUUGACAAAGGCUCCAGAGGAAGCCACGGCUAACUCUGUGCCAGCAGCCGCGGUAAUACAGAGGUGGCAAGCGUUGUUCGGAAUUAUUGGGCGUAAAGAGCACGUAGGUGGGUUUGUAAGUCAGAUGUGAAAGCCUUCUGUUCAACGGAAGAAUUGCAUCUGAAACUGCGAAUCUUGAGUGUAGGAGGGGAGAGUGGAACUUCUGGUGGAGCGGUGAAAUGCGUAGAUAUCAGAAGGAACACCGGUGGCGAAAGCGACUCUCUGGUCUAUUACUGACACUGAGGUUGCGAAAGCUAGGGGAGCAAACGGGAUUAGAUCCCCCGGUAGUCCUAGCCGUAAACGAUGGGCACUAAGUAGGGGAAAGCUACCGAUGUUUUCUCUGCCGUAGCUAACGCAUUAAGUGCCCCGCCUGGGGAGUACGGCCGCAAGGCUAAAACUCAAAAGAAUUGACGGGGGCUCGCACAAGCGGUGGAGCAUGUGGCUUAAUUCGAUGCAACGCGAAAAACCUUACCGGGGUUUGACAUGAUAGAAGUAGGAACCUGAAAGGGUGACCAAUGGUAUCCAGUCCAUAACUAUCACAGGUGUUGCAUGGCUGUCGUCAGCUCGUGUCGUGAGACGUUGGGUUAAGUCCCCUAACGAGCGAAACCCUUAUUUUUAGUUGCCAGCGGGUUAUGCCGGGCACUCUAGAGAGACUGCCGUCAUCAAGGCGGAGGAAGGUGGGGAUGACGUCAAGUCAUCAUGGCCCUUAUGCCCCGGGCUGCACACGUGCUACAAUGGUCGGUACAAAAGGAAGCUAAGCCGAGAGGUGGUGCGAAUCCUAAAAAACCGACCUCAGUUCGGAUUGGAGGCUGAAAUUCGCCUCCAUGAAGUUGGAAUCGCUAGUAAUCGCGGAUCAGCUACGCCGCGGUGAAUAUGUUCCCGAGCCUUGUACACACCGCCCGUCAAGCCACCCAAGCAGGAUGCACCCGAAAACAUUUUACCUGACCGGGAUUUAUCUUGGAGGGGGAUGUUGAAGGAGUGUUUUGUGAGGAGGACUAAGUCGUAACAAGGUAACC